CCUACGGGGGCUGCAGUGGGGAAUAUUGCACAAUGGGCGCAAGCCUGAUGCAGCCAUGCCGCGUGUGUGAAGAAGGCCUUCGGGUUGUAAAGCACUUUCAGCGGGGAGGAAGGCGGUGAGGUUAAUAACCUCAUCGAUUGACGUUACCCGCAGAAGAAGCACCGGCUAACUCCGUGCCAGCAGCCGCGGUAAUACGGAGGGUGCAAGCGUUAAUCGGAAUUACUGGGCGUAAAGCGCACGCAGGCGGUCUGUCAAGUCGGAUGUGAAAUCCCCGGGCUCAACCUGGGAACUGCAUUCGAAACUGGCAGGCUAGAGUCUUGUAGAGGGGGGUAGAAUUCCAGGUGUAGCGGUGAAAUGCGUAGAGAUCUGGAGGAAUACCGGUGGCGAAGGCGGCCCCCUGGACAAAGACUUACGCUCAGGUGCGAAAGCGUGGGGAGCAAACAGGAUUAGAUACCCGAGUAGUC
rnacentral:rRNA from 1 species